AAAACUGCUGCUGCUCUCUUUAUUUCUCUUCAUCUCUCUCUUUCUAUGUGUGUGUGUAAUUUCUGUGAGUUACUAGUGGAUGCUAGAUCAACUAUAUUCUAUUCUGAAUUAGUAUUAUUUGUGUUUGUAUAUUAGUUAGUUUACUUUAAUAAUUCAGAUCACCUAUGAUCUUUGUGUUGAAUGUGCUUUCAGUGUUCUUGAGAAGUGUAAAACUGUUCAACAUUCAGUUUACAAUUUCUGAAACUUCUGUGAUUCAGUGGUGUCUCUAUGUCAUAUAUAUAGCCUAUGUACUGCCUGUUGUAGAAAAUUUCAGUUUGUAAGUUCCUGUGAUAGCUCCAGUACAUGUGACUUUUAUGUUGUCUCAAGUACCUGUGAUAUACAUACAUAUGUGUGUGUCUGUCAUGUGAUACAUUCAUGUUCUAUCCUACAACCUUGUUUCUUCCCCCUGUUAAUUGUUAGAUAGCUAUAGGUAUGUAUGUAUGUAUAUAUAUAUAUAUAUAUAUAUUCAUG
rnacentral:lncRNA from 1 species